GACGACGCUGGCGGCGUGCCUAAUACAUGCAAGUAGGACGAGUUGCGAACGGGUGAGUAACGCGUGGUAACCUACCUAUUAGAGGGGGAUAACUAUUGGAAACGAUAGCUAAUACCGCAUACCAUCAGAUGUGCCCAGAUGGGAUUAGCUAGUAGGUGGGGUAAUGGCUCACCUAGGCGACGAUCCCUAGCUGGUCUGAGAGGAUGACCAGCCACACUGGAACUGAGACACGGUCCAGACUCCUACGGGAGGCAGCAGUGGGGAAUAUUGCACAAUGGGCGCAAGCCUGAUGCAGCCAUGCCGCGUGUGUGAAGAAGGCCUUCGGGUUGUAAAGCACUUUCAGCGAGGAGGCGUUACUCGCAGAAGAAGCACCGGCUAACUCCGUGCCAGCAGCCGCGGUAAUAC
rnacentral:rRNA from 1 species